rnacentral:rRNA from 1 species
AUUGAACGCUGGCGGAAUGCUUUACACAUGCAAGUCGAGCGGCAGCGCGGGGGCAACCCUGGCGGCGAGCGGCGAACGGGUGAGUAACACAUCGGAACGUACCCAGUGGUGGGGGAUAGCCCGGCGAAAGCCGGAUUAAUACCGCAUACGACCUGAGGGGGAAAGUGGGGGACCGCAAGGCCUCACGCCGCUGGAGCGGCCGAUGUUCGAUUAGCUAGUUGGUGGGGUAAAGGCCUACCAAGGCGACGAUCGAUAGCUGGUCUGAGAGGACGACCAGCCACACUGGAACUGAGACACGGUCCAGACUCCUAUGGGAGGCAGCAGUGGGGAAUUUUGGACAAUGGGGGCAACCCUGAUCCAGCCAUGCCGCGUGAGUGAAGAAGGCCU